rnacentral:rRNA from 1 species
AAUGGUCAUCCUUGAUCUUCUACCCUCAAACACCGUGGCACGUCAGACGUGCUUCGGCGUCGAGAGGCGCCGCCUUUAUGCCCAAAGGCCUAUUUAGUCUGUAUGAAGAAAUGUCAAAACUUUCAACAAAGGAUCUCUUGGCUCUCGCAUCGAUGAAGAACGUAGCAAAGCGCGAAAUGUAGUGUGAAUUGCAGAACAUUGUGAAUCAUCGAAUCUUUGAACGCACAUUGCACCUCCCGUGAGGGAGGUAUGCCUGUCUGAGCGUCAUCGAAACCAAUGAGUCUCCGGACUUGUGUUGGGCUCCGCACCCUCGCGUUGCCUCGAAGCCAUGGUCUAACCUGCGGACGACUCCAAUCGGACCUGCCGCGGCGUGGCCCAUACAUACGUUUGACCUCAGAUCAGGUAGGAAGACCGCCUGAACUUAAGCAUAUCAUUAAGCGGAGGAA